GGGGAUUUAGCUCAGUGGUAGAGCACUUGCCUAGCAAGUGCCAAGGCCCUGGGUUUGGUUCCCAGCUCCA
rfam:Rattus norvegicus chromosome 1, whole genome shotgun sequence.